UGCCGGGAUGGCGGAACUGGUAGACGCGCCGGACUCAAAAUCCGGUGGUGGUGACAUCGUGUCGGUUCGAGUCCGACUCUCGGUACCAU
rnacentral:tRNA from 1 species